rnacentral:rRNA from 1 species
GAUGAACGCUGGCGGCGUGCCUAAUACAUGCAAGUCGAGCGAACAGAUAAGGAGCUUGCUCCUUUGACGUUAGCGGCGGACGGGUGAGUAACACGUGGGUAACCUACCUAUAAGACUGGAAUAACUCCGGGAAACCGGGGCUAAUGCCGGAUAACAUUUAGAACCGCAUGGUUCUAAAGUGAAAGAUGGUUUUACUAUCACUUAUAGAUGGACCCGCGCCGUAUUAGCUAGUUGGUAAGGUAACGGCUUACCAAGGCAACGAUACGUAGCCGACCUGAGAGGGUGAUCGGCCACACUGGAACUGAGACACGGUCCAGACUCCUACGGGAGGCAGCAGUAGGGAAUCUUCCGCAAUGGGCGAAAGCCUGGCGGAGCAACGCCGCGUGAGUGAUGAAGGUCUUCGGAUCGUAAAACUCUGUUAUUAGGGAAGAACAAAUGUGUAAGUAACUGUGCACGUCUUGACGGUACCUAAUCAGAAAGCCACGGCUAACUACGUG